rnacentral:rRNA from 1 species
AGCGAACGCUGGCGGCAGGCCUAACACAUGCAAGUCGAACGAACUCUUCGGAGUUAGUGGCGGACGGGUGAGUAACACGUGGGAACGUGCCUUUUGGUUCGGAAUAACUCAGGGAAACUUGUGCUAAUACCGAAUGUGCCCUUCGGGGGAAAGAUUUAUCGCCAUUAGAGCGGCCCGCGUCUGAUUAGCUAGUUGGUGAGGUAACGGCUCACCAAGGCGACGAUCAGUAGCUGGUCUGAGAGGAUGACCAGCCACACUGGGACUGAGACACGGCCCAGACUCCUACGGGAGGCAGCAAUGGGGAAUCUUGCGCAAUGGGCGAGAGCCUGACGCAGCCAUGCCGCGUGAAUGAUGAAGGUCUUAGGAUUGUAAAAUUCUUUCACCGGGGACGAUAAUGACGGUACCCGGAGAAGAAGCCCCGGCUAACUUCGUG